CAGUAGCCGCGGUAAUACGAAGGGGGCUAGCGUUGUUCGGAUUUACUGGGCGUAAAGCGCACGUAGGCGGAUCGAUCAGUCAGGGGUGAAAUCCCAGAGCUCAACUCUGGAACUGCCUUUAAUACUGUCGAUCUGGAGUACGGAAGAGGUGAGUGGAAUUCCGAGUGUAGAGGUGAAAUUCGUAGAUAUUCGGAGGAACACCAGUGGCGAAGGCGGCUCACUGGUCCAUUACUGACGCUGAGGUGCGAAAGCGUGGGGAGCAAACAGGAUUAGAUACCCCUGUAGUCCCUGUCUCUUAUAC
rnacentral:rRNA from 1 species